rnacentral:lncRNA from 1 species
AGAGAGGGUAAUUGUGUGUACGUUUGUAGUUUCUAAUAUUUUGGUGAGAUGGGGGCUCAGUUGUUUACAUGACCCAAUCCAUAAACAUUUUGCUAGAGCAAUAAAUGAAGAAGAUACUGUUUGUUUUAUUUUCUACUUAAUAUUAUUGUUACUUCACACUAGAAUUAGAAUGACACUGUAGCAUAGAAUCUUGGCCAAGAUAGAAAUCUUCAAAGUCAUCUAUGUUUCCUGAUAAAGGGGACAAUUAUUUGCCAUGGCACUAAGAUGUGUCAUCUUUGUGAAUAUGAUCUAGAAGAAAAAGCACAAUUAUUUAAAUAUGGCCCAUUUUGGUUUCUGAUAGAUUUGUUUGACACCUUUUCUUAUUUUGAGGUGUAGUAUGCUUCCAUGUACCUUUCCAGUAUAAAUUCAGGUCCUACCAUCUGGAGUGACUCAAAGUAAGGUUGGACUUCUUUUGGAAGACAAAAACAAACAAACAAAAAGCAAAAACAACAACAACAAAAACAAUUAUUCAAAUAUUUGAAGAUAAAUAUUGCUGCGAAAGGCCAUCAUGGCAUGUUCAUCAUAUGGCAUCCCCUGCUAUGUCUCUUCCUGGUUGGGAGGAAAUGGGGUCCUUCACCUGCUGCCCAAGACGGGUGCGUGCAAGUCAUCUCCUGUGUCGACUGUGGGACGAGACCCGCUGAUCAUAAGAAACUGAACUGAUACUCACUGUUGAAACUGGGCUUUCUCUGUUUCUUCUAUAUGAUAGUAAAGCAUUG